CACAUGAUCACCUACCAACACUGUGAUGUUAAACCUCUUCCUAACCAAACGGCGCAGAAGCUAGUUUUGUGGCUUCUAGUGCUAGCUUUAUCUGCUGUCGACAAGCCUGCUACACCAGCGUCAUAUCAGAUGACACUAUUCAGGCAACAUAAAAGACACCUUUGAAUCAGGGUUAUUCCGCACCUUUCCGUUUUUCUUUCCCUGACGAAGUGAUGAUUGCAAAACAAACCUCCAUUGAGGUAUCACUGUAUGCCCCUAUUGUUACGUACUUUUCUGCACAAGCGCUGAUGCAUAAAGCUUUUCCCCAGAAGUCUGCCGACCACAUCCACGAAUGUUGACUUAUCUUCUGUAUGAUUGGUCGUUCUAGUCUAGGCCAGUGGACGCAUUAUCCAGACGCACCAUCUCUACCCUCUGGGAUACCACCACCACUAGCCGACCAUGGUAACCAUUUAAAUCUUUGGGAAAACUGCGUUGUACGUGUGCUAGAUUAUUUGAAUACAACCUUAGCCCUUU